rnacentral:rRNA from 1 species
CCCUUAGAUGUUCUCGGCCGCACACGCGCUACACUGAAAGAGGCAACGUGUUUGCCUGAUUCGAAAGAAUUGGGUAACCCCCUAAUCUCUUUCGUGCUGGGGAUUGAGGUUUGCAAUUAUCCUUCAUGAACGAGGAAUUCCCAGUAAGUGCGAGUCAUUAUCUCGCGCUGACUACGUCCCUGCCCUUUGUACACACCGCCCGUCGCUACUACCGAUUGAAUGAUUUAGUGAGGACUUCGGACUGAGUCCAAUGCGGCUUUCGGGCUGCGUUGGUAUUUCGGAAAGAUAUCCAAACUGUAUCAUUUAGAGGAAGUAAAAGUCGUAACA